GAUGAACGCUGGCGGCGUGCUUAACACAUGCAAGUCGAACGAUGAAGCCCAGCUUGCUGGGUGGAUUAGUGGCGAACGAGUGAGUAACACGUGAGUAACCUGCCCUUAACUCUGGGAUAAGCCUGGGAAACUGGGUCUAAUACCGGAUAGGAGCGUCCACCGCAUGGUGGGUGUUGGAAAGAUUUAUCGGUUUUGGAUGGACUCGCGGCCUAUCAGCUUGUUGGUGAGGUAAUGGCUCACCAAGGCGACGACGGGUAGCCGGCCUGAGAGGGUGACCGGCCACACUGGGACUGAGACACGGCCCAGACUCCUACGGGAGGCAGCAGUGGGGAAUAUUGCACAAUGGGCGCAAGCCUGAUGCAGCGACGCCGCGUGAGGGAUGACGGCCUUCGGGUUGUAAACCUCUUUCAGUAGGGAAGAAGCGAAAGUGACGGUACCUGCAGAAGAAGCACCGGCUAACUACGUG
rnacentral:rRNA from 1 species